GUGCCAGCCGCCGCGGUAAUACGUAGGGUGCGAGCGUUGUCCGGAAUUAUUGGGCGUAAAGGGCUCGUAGGCGGUUUGUCGCGUCGGGAGUGAAAACACCGGGCUUAACUCGGUGCUUGCUUUCGAUACGGGCAGACUAGAGGCAUGCAGGGGAGAACGGAAUUCCUGGUGUAGCGGUGAAAUGCGCAGAUAUCAGGAGGAACACCGGUGGCGAAGGCGGUUCUCUGGGCAUGUCCUGACGCUGAGGAGCGAAAGUGUGGGGAGCGAACAGGAUUAGAUACCCUAGUAGUCC
rnacentral:rRNA from 1 species